rnacentral:rRNA from 1 species
GACGAACGCUGGCGGCGGGCUUAACACAUGCAAGUCGAACGGAAAGGCGCUGCUUGCGUGGGAUGCUCGAGUGGCGAACGGGUGAGUAACACGAGAGUAACCUGCCCCUGACUUUGGGAUAACUUCAGGAAACUGGGGCUAAUACCGGAUAGGAGCUCCUGCUGCAUGGUGGGGGUUGGAAAGUUUCGGCGGUUGGGGAUGGACUCGCGGCUUAUCAGCUUGUUGGUGGGGUAGUGGCUGACCAAGGCUUUGACGGGUAGCCGGCCUGAGAGGGUGACCGGCCACAUGGCGAGAGAGAUACGGCACGGAGUCCUGCGGGAGGCAGCAGUGGGGAAUAUUGCACAAUGGGCGGAAGUAGGAUGCAGCAACGCCGCGUGCGGGAUGGUGGCCUUCGGGUUGUAAGCCGCUUUGGCCUGUGACGGAGCGUGAGUGACGGUAAUGGAUAAAGAAGCACCGGCUAACUACGUG